rnacentral:rRNA from 1 species
AGAGUUUGAUCAUGGCUCAGAACGAACGCUGGCGGCGUGCUUAACACAUGCAAGUCGAACGAGAAAGCUUUCUUCGGAAAGUGAGUAGAGUGGCGCACGGGUGAGUAACGCGUAGGUAAUCUAUCCUUACAUUUGGGAUAACAUCGGGAAACUGGUGCUAAUACCGAAUGGUCUUCAUUGCUUUGGGGCGAUGGAGUAAAGGUGGCCUCUUCAUGAAAGCUACCGUGUAGGGAUGAGCCUGCGUACCAUUAGCUAGUAGGUGGGGUAAUGGCCCACCUAGGCUACGAUGGUUAGCGGGACUGAGAGGAUGAUCCGCCACACUGGAACUGAAACACGGACCAGACUCCUACGGGAGGCAGCAGUGAGGAAUAUUGCGCAAUGGGGGAAACCCUGACGCAGCGACGCCGCGUGAGUGAGGAAGGUUUUCGGAUCGUAAAGCUCUGUCAGAAGGGAAGAAGUGUUAUAUGGUUAAUACCCGUAUAAUUUGACGGUACCUUCAGAGGAAGCACCGGCUAACUCCGUGCCAGCAGCCGCGGUAAUACGGAGGGUGCAAGCGUUGUUCGGAAUUACUGGGCGUAAAGGGCGCGUAGGCGGCCUGAUAAGUCAGAUGUGAAAGUCCACGGCUCAACCGUGGAAGUGCAUUUGAAACUGUCAGGCUUGAGUAUCGGAGGGGAGUGUGGAAUUCCCGGUGUAGAGGUGAAAUUCGUAGAGAUCGGGAGGAACACCGGUGGCGAAGGCGACACUCUGGACGAAUACUGACGCUGAGGCGCGAAAGCGUGGGGAGCAAACAGGAUUAGAUACCCUGGUAGUCCACGCCGUAAACGAUGUGAACUAGGGAUAGGGGGUGUUGAUCCCUCCUGUCCCGCAGCUAACGCAUUAAGUUCACCGCCUGGGG